CAGUCGCCACGGUAGGACGAACCGUGCGAACGUUAUUCGGAAUCACUGGGCUUAAAGCGCGUGUAGGCGGAUGGGAGCGUCGGCCUCUGAAAUCCCCCGGCUCAACCGGGGAAGUGGAGCCGAAACGACCCGUCUGGAGGGACGUAGGGGGACCUGGAACUUCCGGUGGAGCGGUGAAAUGCGUUGAGUUCGGAAGGAACGCCCGUGGCGAAAGCGAGGUCCUGGACGUCUGCUGACGCUGAGACGCGAAAGCCAGGGGAGCGAACGGGAUUAGAUACCCCCGUAGUCCCUGUCUCUUAUU
rnacentral:rRNA from 1 species